AUCCUGAGCCACGAGGGCGAGGACGAGGUCCUGCUCGCCUGCCUGGUGGAGAACUUCUUCGCCGAGGCCCAGGUGGAAUGGCUGCAGAACGGGGAGCCGCUGGAGGCGCCGCGGGAGGACUACGUGUGCGCCGAGUGCUCCGACAACCAUGACGCCACGGUGAUCGUGGAGAUCUUCCCGCCCACCCUGGAGGAGCUCUUCGUGACGCAGAACGCCAGCGUGACCUGCGUGGCCACCAACGUGCGGGCGCCGGGCGACGUCACCUUCUCGUGGAAGCGCAAGGGCGGCAGCGGCGGCUCCUUGGACGCGGCCACCGGGGAGGCCGCGCCCAGGACACCGGGCUCUACCGCGUCGCCAGGCUCCUCAAGGUCUGCGCCGAGGAGUGGAACUCGGGGGAGACCUUCACGUGCACCGUGUCCGGCCCCGAGCUGCUCGAGCCCAUCAGCAAGAGCAUCGAGAAGAGCACGGCCCAGCGGGAGCUCAUUGGACCCCCCGGUUCUGUCCCCCCAGACUGGGUCGUGGUCACGUUCGGCGAGGACGCGACGGCCGAGAGCCCCGAGGACCCCGGCGACCUGUGGACGGCCGUGACCUUCAUCUUCCUCUUCCUCCUCAGCCUCUGCUACAGCACCGGGGUCACCCUGUUCAAG